GAAGGAGUCACUGGAGCAGAAGGAGAUGGCUGGGAUGAAAUACUGGUAGUGCUGGGAUCUGGUGGUGUCAAUACACUUAACUUUUGUUGAUCUGCACUUUUUUAACACUUUGAAAUCCUUUCUCCACUUCACUUUUCAACUCUUUGAAACCGGUGAGACAUUGAUCAGUUUGAGUAACACAUUGUUGGAGUUGUGAAGUUAUCUUAUUGUGGCUUGUUUGGAAAGUGUUUUGAACAGCUUUGAUGUCCUGCUGAACCUCUGCUUGGAGUUGAUCAACCAUGAAUCGUAGUUCGGACACCAAGCAAGAUCAGCAAUCUGGCUCUGGUGCUGAGAAGAGGUAUCUUUCACUUCCUGGGUGAGAGUUUGUACUGGAGUGCUCCCAGCCAGAGCAGGAGAGGACAUGUGCACACGGGUUCCAGGAUGAACAGGGCUGAGUGGAGUGGGGGUAUGGUAGAACACCGGAGCACAUGGAGCUGGUUCCAGAG